GCCCAGACUCCUACGGGAGGCAGCAGUGGGGAAUAUUGCACAAUGGGGGAAACCCUGAUGCAGCGACGCCGCGUGAGUGAAGAAGUAUUUCGGUAUGUAAAGCUCUAUCAGCGGGGAAGAUAAUGACGGUACCUGAGUAAGAAGCCCCGGCUAACUACGUGCCAGCAGCCGCGGUAAUACGUAGGGGGCAAGCGUUAUCCGGAUUUACUGGGUGUAAAGGGAGCGUAGACGGCAUGGCAAGUCUGAAGUGAAAGCCCGGGGCUCAACCGCGGGACUGCUUUGGAAACUGUUAAGCUGGAGUGCAGGAGAGGUAAGUGGAAUUCCUAGUGUAGCGGUGAAAUGCGUAGAUAUUAGGAGGAACACCAGUGGCGAAGGCGGCUUGCUGGACGAUGACUGACGCUGAGGCUCGAAAGCGUGGGGAGCAAACAGGAUUAGAUACCCCCGUA
rnacentral:rRNA from 1 species